rnacentral:rRNA from 1 species
AAAUGAAUAGACGGGGGCCCGCACAAGCGGUGGAGCAUGUGGUUUAAUACGUCACUAACCGUAGAACCUUACCCAGGCUUGACAUCUGGGGAACCCCGGUGAAAGCCGGGGGUGCCGAGUAAUCGGAGCCCCAAGACAGGUGUUGCAUGCCUGUCGUCAGCUCGUGUCGUGAGAUGUUGGGUUAAGUCCCGCAACGAGCGCAACCCUCAUCCGAUGUUGCCAGCGUUAAGUCGGGAACUCUUCGGAAACUGCCCGUGCAAGCGGGAGGAAGGUGGGGACGACGUCAAGUCAGCAUGGCCCUUACGCCUGGGGCUACACACAUGCUACAAUGGGUGUUAAACAAAGGGCAGCAAUACCGCGAGGUGGAGCUAAUCUCAAAAACACACCCUCAGUUCGGAUUGCAGUCUGCAACUCGACUGCAUGAAGUCGGAAUCGCUAGUAACCGCAGGUCAGCUAAACUGCGGUGAAUACGUUCCCGGGCCUUGUACACACCGCCCGU